UAAAGUUUCCAAUCCGUAUUCCCGUUGCCACCAUGUUGUUUGUCUUUGUUAAAUGAUUUUAUGGUGUUAACAUGAUACAAAGGACUUUUGUUUUCUGUUUUAUAGCCGAGUGUGUGGAAACCCUCAUGCCAUUAUCAGAAAAUAUGGGCUCAUGUGUUGCAGACAAUGCUUCGGAAGCAAUGCCAAGGAAAUCGGGUUCAUCAAGUACCGCUGAAGAACAAACUUUAACAUGGGCAUGAAGAAGCAGGUUUUGAAAUUGAAGGAGCGUUUUAAGAUAAUGUUCUUAUCUGUUGAAUUUAAGUUUGGGACCUUGAACUUUUGUUUCUCAAUGAAGUAAUCAUCCUGUUUUC